UACGGGAGGCAGCAGUGAGGAAUAUUGGACAAUGGGCGCAAGCCUGAUCCAGCCAUGCCGCGUGCAGGAUGACGGUCCUAUGGAUUGUAAACUGCUUUUAUACAGGAAGAAACACUCCCUCGUGAGGGAGCUUGACGGUACUGUAGGAAUAAGGAUCGGCUAACUCCGUGCCAGCAGCCGCGGUAAUACGGAGGAUCCAAGCGUUAUCCGGAAUCAUUGGGUUUAAAGGGUCCGUAGGCGGCUUAAUAAGUCAGUGGUGAAAGCCCUACGCUUAACGUAGGAACGGCCAUUGAUACUGUUAGGCUUGAAUUAUUAGGAAGUAACUAGAAUAUGUAGUGUAGCGGUGAAAUGCUUAGAGAUUACAUGGAAUACCAAUUGCGAAGGCAGGUUACUACUAAUGGAUUGACGCUGAUGGACGAAAGCGUGGGUAGCGAACAGGAUUAGAUACCCUGGUAGUCCACGCCGUAAACGAUGGAUACUAGCUGUUGGAGCAAUCUCAGUGGCAAGCGAAAGUGAUAGUU
rnacentral:rRNA from 1 species